UUAAAUUGAAGAGUUUGAUCAUGGCUCAGAUUGAACGCUGGCGGCAGGCCUAACACAUGCAAGUCGAACGGUAACAGGAAGAAGCUUGCUUCUUUGCUGACGAGUGGCGGACGGGUGAGUAAUGUCUGGGAAAC
rnacentral:rRNA from 1 species